rnacentral:lncRNA from 1 species
GAGUAGAACAUUUUUUGAGUGGAUAACGAAUGGAUGGGUGAUUGGGUACUCCCAAGGUAGGAGUAGCAUAGGUGCGUGUCUCUAGGAUAGAAACAACACAUAGUAUAGUGCGUGUAUGUGGGUGGUACUUCCAGGAACAGAAGUAGCACAUAGUGAAUAUAUAGUGGAUGUAAGUGGUUGCAUACUUUUGAGGACCGAAGUAGCUAACAUCAAUGGAUGGAGAGCACAUAACUUUAACUGCAUG